rnacentral:misc_RNA from 1 species
GAUGAAGAACGCAGUGAAAUGCGAUAAGUAGUGUGAAUUGCAGAAUUCAGUGAAUCAUCGAAUCUUUGAACGCACAUUGCGCCCCUCGGUAUUCCGUGGGGCAUGCCUGUUCGAGCGUCAUUUACCCCUCAAGCACUGCUUGGUGUUGGGCGUCUGUCCCGCUUCGCGCGCGGACUCGCCCCAAAGGUAUUGGCAGCGGUCGUGCCAGCUUCUCGCGCAGCACAUUGCGCUUCUCGAGGCGGUCGAUCGGCGUCCACGAAGCUCACCUCCACCGUUUGACCUCGGAUCAGGUAGGGAUACCCGCUGAACUUAAGCAUAUCAAUAAGCGGAGGA